ensembl:lncRNA
ACACAAACGCACACACACACACACACAGACACGCAUCAGCUAGAAAGGGCUUGGCAUACUAUAUUGGCUCUGCAGAUUUCAUUGUGACUGAGGUGAAACAUUAAGACAUGCAAUGCAGUGGGGUCACCAUGUGGGGCACCCUGUCCUCACCUCCUUUAAAUGCAACCAGCCUAGUGCUCACCUCUGCCAGGAUAGCAUACAUGAAACCACUCGACAUGCCUCUCCGACUUCAUAUUAUAGAACCACACUCAGAGAAACAACGCAUGGUACAGUCUUGAUAAUGCACCGUAACGUUAAAUCACGAUGUCAUGCAUUGUUGUAGCUUUGAGGAGGCGCCGUGGUUGCGUUGUUAGUUGAGGCUUCUCGGCCAGUUGAAGGAUGUCAUUUUCCCCUAAUACCGUAUAACCCAUUUAUAACCACUAUAGAAGAUGACUCGCAUGAAAGAGCAGUUCUCUCAUGUAACUUGUAUUUCCUCCCUUAUCGACCGCUAGCAGACUACAGCUCACUGUCAGAAUGUGAAGAGCUGGAGGCCUAGCGGUGACAGGCUGGGUGGGGUGAUGGGGUGAGUCAAUUCAAAAGAAGAAAAUGCGCCACUUGUGAGGUGCCAAAAAAAAAAACCUCCGUCACAAACUGACCUGUGAAUCUUGCGCUGACAGGAAGCGCAUCACUGAGCUCUGGGUUUGUGCUGCUUCCUGUCUGUUAGACCACAGUUGAGAUGAACACCUUUCUCUCUUUUUCUCUCUCUUUCUCGCUCACACUCACACACACACUACCUACCACAGUGGAAACUUCUCUAAACCCUUCCCCCCACAUCACACACACCCAGACAACUCAAACUCACUCAAAGUCUGUACUUCUACAUCAUGUUCAGUGUGCCUGAAACAAUCCACAAGCAAUAACGGUCUCAAGAAUUCUGUCAUUGGCUUCAUGCCACUUCUGCACUAAUUAGAUUAUCUAGUAAUGACAUAAACACACACAAAAAAAACAACAGAUAGUUUAAACCAAGAACUAGGACUCGGUUAAAUAAGGAAACAAGUUUGUGUGCACAUGUGCACAACAACACAUGUAAUGUGGUCCCUAAAAUGGAUGCUUCUAGAGAACAUCAUGAUGCGAACCUCCACUCCCCCUCCCUCACAGAGUUUGUUCUUCAAAGCCACCAAGCCCACUGUGGUUUCAGUCCGAUUCUGAGAACUGCCACACUUGCAGACUGUAUCUGUCACAUCUUCCCUCAAAGCUCGUCAUCGACAGUGACCAAAUCUAGCCUUUAUCGCCUUCUUCUUUCUGCACCUUCAACUUUAAAAAAACACUAUGCAACAACAACUUGACACUUUUUGAGGUAUGGUUGUAUAGGCAACUAGUUUUGGUACCAUCCUCAAAUUCAUUUUGAUAGCAUAUGGUCAUGUGGAGGACAGAUAAACACCUGUGUCUUUCCCACUAGCCAUCUAGGACAUGCCCUAGGUAGUUCUGUGUACCGGGCUGGAACACCCUGCAAAAAUGGAAGAAAAGCUUUCACAGCAUGACAUUGCCAGCUAUACUGCCAAAAGACACCAGUUAGUGUGUUCGCAAGCUUAUAUCAGUGUCAACUGGGCUGUUAGUGGUGUUUGCAAAGUUUUGACAUGCCUUUUAGGUUGUUAGCUUGCUAGAUUUGGAACAGAACUCCUUAUUGCUGCUUUAACUCAAAAAGAGGCUCAAAUGAGGGCCUCCGAUCAACACUGGCUGCGAUUUGAAGACUACGCUAACGCUAACGCUAACAGUGAUGUGCCAUGUCACUCAGGCUAACGCACACUCGAAUAGCAUACUGAGAAACUGCCGUGCAGAAACAGAACAGGGUGCACCCAUUCUCACUUCCUCCCUCAAAAUCUCCCCUGUCACACUUCCCCAGCCAUGGCAAGCCUUCACAGUCGCCACACGCCGGCCCACGUUCAACUGAAGCCUUUUGAGGCGUGCUGUGCACAGACUACGCAGACAAAGCGGCGGCGUGACUUACCAAACUGGGCAAGCGUUAACCUCCGACAUCCAGUGCUGCGCUCCAUCUGAAGGUCAGUGUGAGAUCUUAGGUGGUGCAUCUGGCCACCCGCCCCCCAUAUGUGCCAUUUCUACUAUGUGGCAACAGGCCGCAACACCGCAGAUAGGAAGGACCAUGCUGAAUUGUGAAAAGGGGACAGGAAGUUGCUGCACUCACCACGAAAGCACAACUGCCCUCAGGAACAUCUGACAGCUCGAAAUGGUCUGACGGCACUUGUCAUCCUUUGCGUGUACAGACAGCACUUGUGAAUCCCCCACCUCAUUCAUGGGCUGCCUGUUUGAUGCACAAGGUACAAACUGGUUCUAGUCAUAAUGAAAGUGCUGACAAUGACGCCAAAAACAACAGUUUGACUCCAACACCCCACAGCAUAGGAGAUGUGACAGGUUCAUUAAUAACCCUACAUAGGGGUUGCUGGACUCUCUAAGUAUUUGAACAGCACCUUGGCCGUUUUGGUGGGAGCCAGUGGAAAAACACUCGGCCAGCAGCGGUAAACUAGAGACAAAGCCACAUGCACCUCUCCUGCACCGUGUCUGCUGCCUCCAGCAGAGUGGGCAAUUCAACAAAUGCCUCAGACGCCUCGGUUGUGGAGUCUCCCCUCCAUUGUUUUGGCUCCCACACAGAGGAACUAUCGCCCACGUUCAAACCAUACCGGUUGAGCAAGAACACUCCUCAGCAGAGUCCAGAAUGUGCUAUACGCGUCCAGAUACACAAUUGGCCUGUUAGUUAAAAACAGUUCAUGGAUCUCUCAACCCACUCAGUUGAGCAAUUCAAUUCCCCUGAAUUUUGUGUGUGGCUAUCUCGGCAGAUGUGCCACAUGUGCAAGAGGCUGUGGUUUCAACUAGAGGCGCAAAGCGGGAAGGAAUGACAAGUGUUUACCAUUUUAAGACUGCUUUCAUCACGAGAAGGCUAACCCGAAAGGCAUUCGCACCGUGCAAUGGCCCAUUAGCAGCAGCCAAUGUGCUUAUUGUGAAACAGCGACAAACCCACCAUCUUGACUCGCCAACCAUCCACUGAUCUGUUUUAUGUUCAUACCAGUACCAACAAGUCCCAGCGCAUUUGAAAAGCAGGAGGCGGAGGAGGCGAAAGAGAGAGAGAGAGACGUUUUACACCGCUUUGGGGUAAAACCCAAACACAACCCUGGGGUAACUUUGACUCAGACAGAGAGUGACUUAGCUUCUGUUCUGUUCCGUGGCUUACACUUGUUUGGCUGAUAAGGUCUCCGUUGAAACGCCAUCUCUCAAGGUUGUUAUUGGAAUUGAAUGGGGAGCCAUGUUUUUCAGCCAUGUAUAACCCAAGCGAGACGCUGUCUGAACACUUUGUGUUUUACAUCAGGACAGUCUGUGUGGCUGACUUUACCGUGAGGUAGCCUGCAACAAUCAAUGUUCAUUCUUUGGCAAAGAGAGAAGAAAAAAAAAAGAGGAGUCACCACUUUUAAAGCAAGCCACAUACCGAGCAGGCCUGGACACAAACUGUCCGGUGACAGGCAUGCUGCCUUCAUCUUCAAAAACAGCCAUUUCAAUAUAGGCCAUGAACAGAACUGGGCAUGGUGGCUCUCGACUUGUUUUUACGAGCAGUGGUGUGAAACCAACAAAAACUGCAAACAGUGUCGCUGCAAAGUGUUUUUGCAGAGCUGUCGAUAGCUGUGACACUUACACACACACACACACCUCCCUCUCUUCUCAGAUAAGGCACAAGAAGGUUACUGGGGCGUCUGAUAGUCUAUGGCCAUUAUUCCAUUCCUGAUCCGGAGUUAAAGUUUACCUUCUCUUGAGCUCACUGUCCUGUGUCUCUACAGGGGCCUACAUUCAGGCCAAUGUGCGAAUAACUACACUGAAGUAUUACUUCAGAUCAACCUUUUUUGACUGACAGCAACCGACAGCCUUCUCUCUGUUUUUGUUUGCUUGUGUGUGUGUGUGUGUGUGUGUGUGUGUGUGUGUGUGUGUGUGUGUGUGUGUGUGUGUGUGUGUGCGUGUAUGUAACUUCUGCUCAUUCUAUUUCCACACAAGAAGUGUCCACACACCAAACAUUCAAUUGGUUUCAGAAUGCGUUUCCAUUUCACAACCAUUAUUUCUGUCUGUUCGUAGGUAAACACUGAAGAUCCAGGCUCUGGGCUCUGUAAAGCGUAUUGUAUUGUUAUGGCGCUAUAUAAAUAAAAUUGAAUUGAAUUAAAGAUAGUGUUUGUUCCCUAGCAUACAAACACUGCUCAACUCCAACCAGCAUUCUCUUGCCCCCAUUUUUUUUUCCAACCACAAAUACACGGCAUUCAUGACAAGUCACAUUGCGUUAGAGAGCAACCCUAUUGGAAUUAUUCUAGGGAACCGCACCCCAGGACACAAAACAUUCCUCUCCACGUCACGAGCGAAGCCUCUGACAGGCAAUCACAUGGGAAACUAAACCCUGCUCACUGCAGCCCAUCCCAUCUCAUUCAGUGCAUUUACACAACUGUCAGAACAACAAUCUACCUGCUUUGUCACGUACUCUCGUCUCAAGCAAAGUGAGGCCUAAAGUCUGUUUGGCUUUCCCUUUGUCAAAUGAUGAUGUCUUCUAUAACACACACACACACACACACACACACACACACACAUCACAGCUAUGUACAGAUAGGCUAGAACAUAUCAAACACAUGUGAGAGAUGUAUAGUCAUUACAUGUCAUGUUUUUAUGCAAUGUAAUAAGGUAAUUUCCUCUGCCUGUACCAGAUAUGAACCUGGUUUAAUAUGGACUAACGUCUAAUGGCACCCCUUUUCUGCCAGAGAGCAAACAGUAAUAAAAGUGGACAGGAUGAGUCCUACCACUGGGAGAAGGAGGAAUGGAUUCAAGAAUGAGGCAAAUAUGGAUAUAUGGCUAGAAAUACAACAAUAUGGUAUAAACCUCCAGUGUACUAUUUGUUAGAUUAUACAACACGCAUUACAGUAGAGGCUUGAAAGAAAUUGUUCUUAACACUUUGAGCACUGGGGCUGGGCCACCAUUUUUUUGUCCAGAGGUAAAAGGCAGAUGGUAAUGAAUGUGGUAUGAUUGUGUGUAUGUGUGUGUUUGUGUGAGUGAGUGUCAAUGUGUGUGUGCGUAAAGGAUACAGGUCAAUAUUUGAGGAACAAUGUGAGCCUUUACAAAGCAGAUCGUUUGCUUAUGAUAGCAGGGAGAUGGGAGAGGCCAGCAAUAUAGCAGCACACAAUAAAACAACGAGCAGGGCGAGACAGAGAGAGGCCCGGCGUCAUUAAUGAACAGGCAGCAAUCUGCCAUUCAACCACUCAAAGCACUAAUCCAAAGAGUUUCAGUGACAAUCCAAAGAGGUUGAGGACAUGUUUGGAAUCUGUUUGAGAGCCUGACUCAGAAAACUCAAGAAUCAGUUUCCCACAUGUAAGAUCCACCUGCAGCUGGUGACACAAAAUGGUGAAACACGCCUAAAGCCACUUGUUUUAGUUUCGACAGCCCACGACUCACCAGGGGAUUAUGGCCUUGCUUCAGGUAAACAAGGACAGGUAAACAAGGCCUGGCUGUUGCCUAGGAACCAGCCUAUAGGAUCCAUGUGUGUGAGGAAUAAAGAACGGGGCUAGGAGAGGCGGAGGGAAGGAGGGCGUCAUUCUCUUAGGAGUAAGGGUAAACGAUCGUGACAUUUGCCGGAAAGAAAGGAAGGAAAUAAAUAUGAGGAGACUGUGCUGUCAGCAACAAAGAUGGUCGCUUGUUCAUCACGGUGUCAGACCACAGAGAUGUCUGAGCACACUUCUCCUCAGCGCUGAAACUAAAGAGAAAAUGGCCAACAGAAAUCGGUCAUUCACUGCAGUGCAGCCAGUGCGAUGAGCACAUCUUUACAAACAAGUAAAAUGCAAAAGAAAGUCAAUUUUCUUCCACAGACCAAACACACACCAUCAACCACCACUUCAAAUCAUUAACACAAACACAAACACAAACACAAACACAACACAAACACACACACACCAUCAGCCACCACUUCAAAUGUUGCAGUGAAUGGAGACAGAGAGAGGUACAAAAGAACAAACACCCGGUUUCAAAUCUGAAUUACUAAUAACUUUCCACACAGUAGCAACCCCACGCCACUGACAAAGCAUCACACCCACAUGUGUCCUCUCACAACUCACAACGCAAAGAAGUCCUCGACAAAAGCAGACGUUACCGUGCACAUUAGUGCAUCACAAGAGAGAGCUGGACGUUACCGUGCACAUCAGUGCAUCACAAGAGAGAGCUGGGGCACUCAUCUUUGUUGACCAGCCUUAGAUUCUCGCCAUCAUAUAUAUAUAUAUAUAUAUAUAUAUAUAUGCUGUGAUAUCCUCCACUUAUCGGUUAGCCUGUAGUGCUCAAUGCUGCGUCACAUGUAGCCGCUAUAGCUCCCGCUUGUGUCAUUUCAUACUCUGCAGGCUCGUUUAGGCUCAUCUUCGCUGCACACAGCCCAGGUGUCAGCAAAUGACCCAAGUUAAAGUAGACCAACACUUUCUACUUCGAUGAUCUCAGUAACGGUCUACCUGUCAGAAAAGGUCAAUCCAUAACACUUAGGGGAAGGGAAUCCCUCUGUAUAUUACAGGCUUCCUAUGCAGGCUGUGCAACACAGUGUGACACCUGCAGAAAAAAAAACACUCCUAGGCAUUAACAAUGCCUUUUAAGCGGGGAGGACAGAAAGUGUUUUUUUCUUUUUGACUGUUCAACCCUUAUAUAAGCAAGUCACAUUUUUGACAUUUACUGGCUAAGAGUUUCACUGUAGAGAACUGUUUUUGACAUGCCAUUUGGACAUUGUGUCAGAGCAGAAAGGAGGAGUAUAUGUAUAUUUAAAUGCAUGUUGCCUCUUCAGUAACAAAAGUACUGUGUUAAAAGGGGCUAAAUGCUCCGUUCUUUGUUAAUAGCAUCAGAUGUGUAUACUGACUCUAUGGUAUGAAUAGGAAGUGGUUAGAAGUUUAUUUCAUCUCUUGGUGUCCCAAAUCAGAAAUACACUGAGCACAGGAUGUGCUGCUGUGGCAAGCAUCUGCACGCAUGUGUGUGUGUGUGUGUGUGUGUGUGUGUGUGUGUGUGUGUGUGUGUGUGUGUGUGUGUGUGUGUGUGUAAAACACUUUCAGGGGAAUUUACAAAGUACCUCUCAGACAGGAGCCCAUUUGUAAAAUCAGAUCUUUGAGAGUAUCUCUCUCUCUCUCUCUCUCAAACACACACACACGCACACGCACACACACACACACACACACACACACACACACACUUACCUAGCCAGACACAUUCUUUGCUGUUUUUUCCCGAACCCUUAAGAAACUGAUUCAGCAUGUGGAAUUCCUCUCCCAAGGCCGCGAUGCCACCUCAGCAGCUCUGUGCCAGGCCAGUGCCCCCGACUCCCCUGCCAGCCUUUCUCCUUGGUACGUCCCGACUCCACCUUUUAGCCACUGUAGCGAUACACAGCCCCAGCCUUAUCAGGAGGGAGGCCAUGACAUAACGCGUCACAGACACUGGUACUCUUUCCCCCCGUUGAGGGAUUAUGCUCCUCUCCGGUUGCUAUAUGUAUGUAUGUGUCCUGAGGGCUCUAGACCCCACACCCCACAGACCUCCCAAUCCAGGCUUCUGGCUUCACCAGACUGCUGCCAGAGCCCCCUUUCACCAGGCUUCCCCCUGGCAGCUGCAGACCAAUAAACUGGAAAACUGUCUCACUGGGACAAAAGGGACGUUGGCGGGGGCAGAGGAGGCAGGUGGGAGGUUGCCAUUGAAAAAGGGCCACACAGACAAAAGGGCCCGCUUGGGUGUACACAAGAGCCUGUUUUCUGUGUUGAAAGUGGAGACUGUGCCGGGAACACACUGGCAAACAGUCCACAAACACAGGGGCGGUGACGCGUGUGUGGAGGGCUUGGGUUGGGGUUAAGGGAGGAGACGUGUGUGAAGAGGGCUUGGGUUGGGGUUAGCGUAACUCGCCUCGUGUCACUACAAGCCCAGAUGUGCGAUGUGUGAGGGUUCUAUUUAGGCUCAUAGAUAGCUCAUUUUUUAUCCCUCCGGCGAUACAAAUCAGGAUGACUGCGCUCGUCCCCUGCUUUUGCAAUCUGUUGCGGCUCCAGAUGAAAUCAGCAGCCCUGUGGGCCUGAGUUGAGAUGUUCGCCCAUGAGGCUCGGAUUCUUGGGAACUGCAGUUUCAACUUUUGCAAUGGGGGCUGCCCGUCUGAGCUUGUUCACGCAGUCAGAUGCUUGCGACACACACAGGGAAAGCAUGUCUGCCCGGUUGGGUGGGGUGGGGUGCGGGGGGGGGUUUGCAGUAUGGAAACUCGAUGCAAAUCUGCCCCUAGGAGAGGGCAGUAUGAACACAAAGAGCUGACUGACUG